rnacentral:rRNA from 1 species
UACGUAGGGUGCAAGCGUUAAUCGGAAUUACUGGGCGUAAAGCGUGCGCAGGCGGUUGUGCAAGACCGAUGUGAAAUCCCCGGGCUCAACCUGGGAAUGGCAUUGGUGACUGUACGGCUAGAGUGUGUCAGAGGGGGGUAGAAUUCCACGUGUAGCAGUGAAAUGCGUAGAGAUGUGGAGGAAUACCGAUGGCGAAGGCAGCCCCCUGGGCCAAUACUGACGCUCAUGCACGAAAGCGUGGGGAGCAAACAGG